AUCCCCCUGUUGUGCUCCAUUUCUCUGUUAUUAACAGAUUUGUAAUAACAUGUAAAGUAAAUAAUAACAUUUGGUUGUGAACUUGACUAAGAAGUUUUUACAAAGUUCUGUUAGAUGUUGCUUAGUUUAAGAAUAAAAGUAAUAUUUUUCAUUAUUAAAUUUUACUUUACCGUUUAAAAAGCUCAUUAAAGUGCUAGUAUUUAAUUUUUUUCUUAUUGAAGUCUGAAAAUAUUGCUGAGACUCUAGGCCCUAGUCAAUAAUAAAAAAUGUUGCUAAACAAUUGAAAUUGAAAAAAUAUAAAUUGAAAAAUUGUCACCUAAGGAGGCUUUGUAAAUAGAAACAUAAUUUACUAUAAAAGUGGAGCCCCAGGCAAAAAUUAUUCAGUCUACAAUAUUUAUCACACGGAACGGUAACAAAACUCCCAAAAAAAACCAGAGACAAAAUGGAAUAAACAAUUUUGUUUUAAAUUUCUAAAUUAAAAACUAAAAACUUUUAUUAAACUUUUGAUGUUGCUGCCUUUGAAUCAAAUUGAUGCUCUGCUUAGUGUACCACGAGAAGCCCAUUCCACAUGAAACCUAUCUGCUCUGGGCUGGCCAAUUUUUGGUGACAUCUUCCUGGUAAGGAGUUCUUCGCUUUAGAGUCGGCUCAUGGCUCUAAAGAAACUCUCGCUGAUCUGGGGGAGCGUCUGCGAGCGGCCCCAGGUGAGCUUCCAAUGUCAAUGCCUAUGAUGCGAAUAGACUGGCCAACGGAGUUCCAUGAUGCUGUAUUGAAAUACUAGUCGGACCAGAACAGAGUGAAUUCUAUAACUAAAGACCUUCAAUCCUGAGAUGAAAUGAUGAAUCAUUUGCGUGUACUUCCCAAGGAUAGUAUCCCUCUUCAGUUUAGAUGCUGUCUGGUUUCUGUACUAUACGUGUCUAAAAAUAUCAGAACAUUUCGAGAAGAUUUGGCAGUUCCUAAAGAUCUUCAAGAAGAACCCUAUUGCCCUGUAGCGCCUUCUGGCCAUGCGGAAAUUUUUCCUGUGGCUUUAGUUAUUUUGGAAUCAUUCUACAUAAAUAUAUGUUUAUAAUUUA